GAAAGAAAAAAAAACACCAUGAAUCAUUUCUUCGCCGUAAACAGUUGCACUGGAUCUGUAUACCGUACCGAGCAAUAAUCGUCCAACCUGACGUCAGUUCAGAAAAUUGUCGGCACAGUUAGCCACGAUCCAACCAUUUGCCAGGGUGGACCUCAGUAGCAAAUCAACGUCAGCCCGGGGUUGGGCCUUCAUCAAACUCCAGUGCCGACUACAGAACUACAGAACACGACUCGCUGUCUGAUUCAGCUGGACACAGCUAUUUCUGGCAAAGUAGAUGAUGUGUCUGUGGGGAUGAAUGACGUCAAACCGUACCUCAACUAUAGGAGUCCGUCGGUGAGCUUGCCGAGCUUGAAAACAUGACAAUUCGCAUACAAACCACGCGCGUUGAGCGGAGAGCUUGCUGCAGCUGUUGGCCGAAGACGUCGACACGAGACCAGACGGAGAGUUCAGGUUGCGGCGACCACACAGCUACUGACGGCCGGUUUUAGCAGGUUGAAGCCAUUGACUUUGUUAUGUGCGGCGACAGUCUCCAAACAAAAAAAAUCACCCUAGGACCAUCUUGACUGCUGGUCGUCCAGACGAGUUCUUUUAGACCGUCACGGUCUUCAACACGGAGCCCGGGUUUCGCCACUGUAUGAACAUAUCGACUUGUGCCAAUGUACUUCCAAUUGGACGAAAGAUGGGUGUGAGUAUUUAGAGUUGGAUAACUAGGCCUCUGCUAACCAAGCAGCCUUCAUUGUCAUGAGUGAUGACACGACAAAAUUGUAAUUCAAAUGUGCGCAUGCAUAUGAGUAUCGCUUCUGUGUCAAAUGGCAAUUCUCUGCAAAGAGCGAGUGGCGGCACUGCACUGAUUCUACAACUCCAAGCGAUCGUCAGCCAGCAAGUAUUGACAACGAUGGCCAAGACCAUUUAACAAACAAUAAUUAGAAAUACAACUUUCACAGGUGUUUGAAACAUGAACAUUUAUUUCAGCACAUUUCAUAUUCUUCUCUAUAAAGGAAGACCUUCGAAAUUGGUGCCUCCACUCCAGGACAAGAUACUGAGCACAUAAUUAUUUUGGGGCCUAUUUUCAUCCACAUUGCCCAGAAAAAUGGCAGUCCUUUUCAUAGCCUAUAAACUUGUCUAGUUGAAGGGGGCCACCUUAAUUCAAAAGCCCUCCAAAAGCAGCCAAACGAUGAGUUUUAUAUACGUUAAGGCUAUUUUGAGCCCAUUUACUGGUAAGACCGAAAAGUCGGUCUCUUGCUUCUGUUUCAAACUUCUUUAACCCUUUCAGCACCAUCGUGCAAAAAGGCACAAAUGAAACAACCCCUUUGCAUACCACAGUGCCAGAUGAGAACGAGAAAUUGCAACCCCUUGCUACCGACGUGCCAUUCAGGAACAAUCUUAUCGGCAGGUUGUCUUAUGAGUAAGGAAGCCCUCACUUGAACACCCUGAUUGGUUGCUCGACGGUAGGCGGGCAUCCUUUUACUGCGGUAUAAGUUUGGCGUGGGUACGCCAUGCAGCUACUAAACGAGCAAUCACGGCCUAAACAUGUAAAACGAAGACGUUUUGCAAGAAUUGUUUGCCGAUAGCGACUCCAACAUGUCUUUUUCCGAUGCUAGAGAUGCCAGAGGUAUGGACGACGCUCCAGAUGAUUUCUUGGCAGCAGCAAAGCCCGAUUAUCGGCGUGGGUGGAGCAAAACCGGACCUUCAUGGCGGAAACAUGGGAAGACAGCGCCCGAACUUACAGGCCACACUCACUGGAGCAACACAUUCUCAAGAAUGAACAGACUUCACGCCAGCGCAGAUCUUCCAGUUAUUUUUCUCGCAAGUGGUGUGGGAGCUACUGGUCACUGAAACCAACCGCUAUGCUGAGCAGAAUAUGACACAGAAGUCAUCACCGGGCCACCCAAGUCGUUGGUCUCCAACAACUAUUCCAGUCUAAAAUGAUGGCCUUUGUAGCACUACUGGGUGUGUACGGGUAUCAACAAGCGGCCUCACUACAUGUACUGGAGCAACUUGGACACUGUGCACAGUGCCAUCUAUCUGGCAACCACGUCUCGCAACAGAUUUAUGGCAAUUCUCAAAUUCAUCCAUCUGACCAACAACCAAGUAGCUUUAAAUACGGACACUACUCCUGACAAGCUGACAAAAGUCCGCCAAUUUGUUCAGAAAAUAAUACCCUCGUUUUUUUGUAAUUACAGACCCAGCCAAAACCUUGCCACUGACGAGACCAUGAUCAAAUUCAAGGGAAGACUAUCAUUCAAACAGUAUAUGCCAAGAAAGCCAACCCAAUGGGGAAUCAAGUGUUUCUCCUUGAACGAAUCUGAAAUGGAGUUCACAUGGGCCUGGACAGUGUACACAGGGUCACAAACACAAACAUCAAGUGUCGACUCGAAGAUAGACAAUGUUGCUGAUUCCACUGUAGUACCUCGACCAGUUCAAGUUGUUUGAAACUUGUCGAUCGAUUUGGAAAUCAGGGACAGUGCACCUUUGCUGAUAAUUGGUACACCAGGCCUGCUCUUACUGUUAACCCAGCUGGGCUUUAGCUUUUGUGGAACUGUUUGAUACAAGACUUAAGGAAUUCCUCAUUUUGCAAACCCCCAAGACUGUCCUAUGGCUAAAGGAGAUAAACACUGCUUUUAUGAAAAGUCAGGACAACAAAAAAGCGUGACACACUUGACAAACUAACUAUGAUAACUGUAGUAUAACUAAUAAGCAGAUUCGGCGUACAAACUCUCCCACAGGUUAUCGUGACAUCAUCAAACCAAACACUGUCACUGAGUACAACAAGCAUGUGGGAGCCUGAGGAACCGAUGCUGCAUCACAACAGUGCGUGUACUAUGCACAUGCUAACAGUCUCGGUGAAGUGGCGGAAACGAGUAUUAAAACUUUGCUCUUCUAGACAUGAGUUCAAAAUGCAAGAGCGUAUAAUAGUCUUAACACCAACUUUAGACUGUCAAAUCUUGAUUUUCAACUCUAUCUGAUCCAAGGCCUGCUGUCAAUGGGAAGAGUUGAGGUGCCGGUCAUGUGCACAAGAGUAUCCCCUGUAUGUGAGAAGAUGUACAACAUAUUCCAGGCAAAACUAGGCAAAAGCGCCACUUUGUUGUUUGCAGUACUCGGAGACGGCAAAUCUGCAUGAUUUAUAAGACGUGCCCAACCAAUGUGUGUCAUUGGAUGCUGAAAUUUCACUCCUAAGAUUCCUUAAAUCUGUCAAAAGUUUGCCGAUUUGUGUUGGUUUUUAUUUUAUUUAUUUAUCUAUUUAUUUUGUUAGUUUUUUUAAACUGUUUUUAGUUGACUAAAAUUCCCAAUUACCCCCCCCCCUUAAAAAGCUGUGGUAGAAACGAGCCAGCACGGUGCAGAGUUUCUCCCAACAUUGGGGGGAAGGAGGGGACUUGGCAUUCUCUCCAAUCCACGUAGACCUCUUUUGUCAUUUUGGAGUUGCACACUUAAUUUUUCGGCUAGCGCUAACUAAUAAGAAUAUUCGUUUUGUGAAAUUCACUUGUGAAAACAUUAAAGGCGGACUAAGUGACUAA